UUCCAGUGCUGAAUUAGUAUGCCUAACU
rnacentral:sRNA from 1 species